AAAACAACUAAGUAGUCAGGACCCUCCUAAAGACAGACUAACAUCAUAAAGACAUGGCCAAUAGAAACAUGAAGAUUAUGUUACAACAGACAGUUCCUAUUGACCCCAUGAACAUUGUCAUAUGACAUAUCUAUACACCCAUCACUGUAAGCUCUAGAGAACAUAGCGCUGAAAAUCAGAGAAACCAAACAAUGGAAUUGUAAUAUAUAAACACAAAUUCACACUUAGAAAAAAAAAAACAAGAUUACAAAUGAAUCUGUUCUGGCAUUUUGUUUGGUUGCUGUAGGAAAUAAGAUUAUAUGGCCUUUACAGUUGCAAAAUAAUAUGAUGGCCAGGGUAAAUAAUAAAAAAAAAAAAUCUUAUGGCCUUAACGUACGUAAACAAAAUCACAACACUGCCUACUUGCUAUGCUACAUGCUUACGUACAAAAUAUUAUAGAGUUACGUCAAGACAUACAUACAAGAUGUCAAGAGUUAAUAUCAAAACUCUAGAAACGAUCCAACAGCAAGUUGAUUUUAUGGACACACAUAGCUUCAAUGACUUUCAAGAACGCAUGGACUUUGUUCACAUCCCCCAUGCUAUUUCAACACAUGUCAAAUCCUGACAUGUCUAUUGGUAGAAAAGUUAUUCAAACAAGUGAAUAAAACAAUUGUUGUGUUGACUAUGGAGAAGGUUCUACAAUGCAUGAAAAUAAAUAAACUGGUGACAACAAAAAUACAAAUCAUUGAGAACAAAAAAAAAACAAAACAGAACCAAAGUUUAUUUAGCAAAUGUAGUUUUGGUUCUUGAGGAAAAUCCAUUGGACAACAUACAACAAGUGAUACUCAUACUAGAAUGUUGAUACAACAAAGGCGUUUGGCUUAAAGUAAAAUGAUUAACUGGCAAAUGACCAAAUUAUGGCACAAUGAGGGAUGUGUAGUUAAUAUAGGUCAUUUACAGCAUCUAUUUGAAUGUGACCUCUUUUAUCAGUAAAGGUAAUAAAAUCAUUGAACACAUAUUUCAGAUCAGCCAACAGCCAUGACAUUCAAACAAAUUCAGACAGACAUUAACAUUUUACUUUUUAGAGACAAUAUAAAUACAAUAAUUUGACCAGGUUUAAAGUUGAUUUUUGUUUAAAGGGGAGGAGUGUGUGUGUGUUAGGGGUGGAGGAAAGUUUCUGAACUAAAGAUAAUUGAAAUCAACAUAUAUACCUAAUAUCUGCCCCAUGUGCAUUCAUUAUAAUACACAUAUACACAUCUUAAUAGUGCACACACACUUCAAUGUCAGCACAGAAUGUGCACAGUAUUUUUUAAUACCAUACACAAACAAAAGUUAGAAGAAUACAAACUCCCAGUGAAACAUGGGCUUGG